AGUCGACUAGCAUCGAACAACUUCUGCGGGGGAAACUGCCGAAGCUGCUUUUAGUAUAACGCCGACCAGAGCCCCGGGCAGCGAGAGCUAUGACAGAGGCUGACGUAAACGCGGUUUGCAAUGCACUUGGGGAAAUGUCUAUGGAAGAUGUUUGCUCCCUGAAGGAAUCCAACAUCCGGUGGAUGCCGGAUAUAUCAUCCCUCACCAAGCCUGAAGCAAUCCGAUCCAUCCGCAAUGCAGUGCGAUCGUUGGACUGCACAGCCAGUCGAGCUUCGUCCAUCGCCCGGCUUUACUGCUACCUCGCUGAGAAAAACUGUCUACGCUUGUGGCGGGCGUAUUUACUCAACGAGAGAGAUCUGUCGGGAAGGUUCACGCUGCAUCAGCGGCUGAUGGCCGCUCUCGCAAAUCCGGGCGUGAGCCUUGCCUACGAGAAGGUUGAGCGGGACGACGCAGUCUACGUCGUCAUUUUGUCCACGUACGCCGAUACCUCCGCACCGGACAACGACGUCAUAUGCAUGUGCAUUCCACGUACGCUCCCCUACGUGUUCGUUCACUGCUCGAGAAACGGGGAUGGAAUUAAGCUCGUUCUCGGCAAUGUGUUAGUUCGCUCCAGCCUUUGGUUCACAGAUUUUCAGCACCUGCAAGAGGCGUUUGAUUACGCCCUCUGGAAGAAAUAGGUGACGUCACUACGCAUCGCAAAAUUUGCCGAUUUGGAAGACGGUGCGUAAUCCCACUAACAAGUACCGCAAGAUAUGCAGCUGCUUCUGAAGAUCCCUUCUUUUUGACGAGUUCCUGAACGGAUAUCAAUGAAACUUCGUUGCAACGUCGACAGCGGCAUCAACAAGUAUUGCUUCCAUAGGUCACUCGUGAAAAUUUCUUUGAGUGAAGUCGCGAAAGAAUGAGGUUGCCAUUGCAGCAAGCAUCGUGUUCUAGCAAAGUGAAAAUGUCACGCAUCAUAUUUAAUUCUCCUAAAGAGACCUUGAGAUAAUUUGCGAUGUAACUUUUUGAGCACCUUAUUAAUAUGAAAAUCACGAAUACCGUUGUUAAUGUUUUUACGUUUCGUAUGGCUUUUAUUAUUGUCUUUCGCCACGUGUUUUAAGCAGCGACAGAGAACGCAUUCCAUUCAUCGGAACCACUUGUAUUCUUGGACGUGUGAAGUUGCUCGUGAAUUCAUGAUGCUAUCUGUUCUAAAUAAAGUGAUUUUUUUUUCAACAAUGAC